UAGUGUGCGUCGUUGUCUGCAGGCCUCAGCCGAAUGCUGGGUAGUAGAGAGGGAUGAACAGAGAUGCCCCUUGGUGCCCCUUUUUCGUCUGGCGUGUGACUCUUGCUUCUGAAUUGUCAUCCUCACUGUGAAAUUCAUCUGGUUGCUGAUGCUGGAGGAGACAAAUACUUGGGGAGCCUGGAGUCUUCAGCCAUCCUUCAGCAUUUCUUUCCAAGUUCUUGGAGGAGCUGAAGUGAACAAAGAAGCCUUCAAAUCUGGAAUUGGGGAUUUCUCUUAUUAACGAAGUAACUCAGGAGAGUACAGCAUUCUUACCAGAAUCGUCCAGGAAAGUAUCUCAAGUUCUUGCUUUACCAGCGGCAAACUUCCCUAAAUUCGGUUUCUCCUGAGGAGAUAGAUCACCGUGGGAGCCUUAAGCAGUUUUUGUUUUUGUUUUUGUUUUUCCCCUUUUGCUGAAAUGAUAGGAAUGUUCGAGGAAUUUUAAGUGACUUUAACUCAACCCUCUCAUGAUGUUUUUUUCUUUUCAUCUCAUUUACUGUAGCUCACUCAUUUGUUUUAUUGAGAGUUUUCUAUGUGCCAGCCCCUGUUCUACUUAUUAGGGGUACAUCAGUGAAUAAAAAGCAAAGCCCCGCACUGG
rnacentral:lncRNA from 1 species